UACAAAAGGAGACUCCUGGCAAUGUCAACCAGUAGAUUUUGUUCAUGCAGUUAAACAACUCAAGUGUGGCUUAGCACAUUCUGCACUAGUUGCAUCUCUGCUGUAUGUGGUGUAUCGCUGGAUGAAGGCCAUCACAGAUUACAGAGAUUAACCACCCCUGUAUUUUACUGGGAUUUGUUGAAGCAAAUUUGCUAGGAUAGUGAGAGGUUUUUUGGUACAGAAUACUGAAAUAUCUGGAGCAUGUCCAUGACCACUAUAAUGUAAGGUGAACAGGGAGGAAGAAGAAAUUAUAAAAAGCCAA